rnacentral:rRNA from 1 species
AUACGUAGGGAGCAAACGUUGUCCGGAUUUAUUGGGCGUAAAGGGCUCGUAGGCGGUUCAACAAGUCGGUCGUGAAAGCCCGGGGCUCAACCCCGGGACGCCGGUCGAAACUGUUGUGACUAGAGUUCGGUAGAGGUGAGUGGAAUUCUCGGUGUAGCGGUGGAAUGCGCAGAUAUCGAGAGGAACACCAUUAGCGAAGGCGGCUCACUGGGCCGAUACUGACGCUGAGGAGCGAAAGCGUGGGGAGCAAACAGGAUUAGAUACCCCUGUAGUCC